UUUCCCGCAUGGCAAGGGAGACACCUUGAUCACGAAGGAGGUUUUCCCAGGGUGAGGCUCAUCCAUUGCACUCCGGGUGUGCUGACCCCUGCGAUUUCCCCAAAUGCGGGAAACUCGACUGCAUAAUUUGUGGUAAGUUGUUUUAAUCUUGUAUAUAACUGU